UACAGGGUUGCAUGCUGGCCUAUCGAUGGCUCGCCGCCAUUUUUACAUACACUUUUCCUUCCACGUGCAGCAUCGGAAGUCGUUCACUUCUUUUCAAAAAUUCGAAGGAAAUGUGAGAACUAUUGGAACUCGAUACCAUUUGGUUAAAUUGAAAUCAAUGCAUGCCAUGUGCAUGUGGGACACCUCGGGACAGCAUGUGGGGUCGUUGAGACACCUCGGGACAUCAUGUUAGUUCGUUAAGACACCUCGGGACAACAUAUGAGGUCGUUGAGACACCUCGAGACAACAUGUGAGGUCUUUGAGACACCUCGGGCAAUGAGCCUUCUGGGGAGACUUUCCACAUUAGAGGUUGUAUUUGCCACUUUAAGGUUAUGAGUGGUUGUGGUCGCAUCGAACACAUGGUUAAUUCCAAAAAAGAAUAUCUUAGUCUGAGUGGCAUUCAAAUGCUAAGAUUGAUUGGAUGGACUUUAUUUAAAAGGAUGACGUUGACCAGAAUCUGCAACACGCCAAAACCUUUUGAUGUUAUAUACACAAUCUAAUAAACAAAGUUACAAUAACCACUUAA